GUGAUAUGGGAAUUAUCAUAUAUAGGUACAAGGUAUUCAUGUCCACGGAAGAACAGUUGUCAGUUUUGAUCUUUUUCACACGAUAUAUGUGACUACCUAAGUAGAUUACAAAAAAUAUAAUACAAAUAUAAUAAAAGAAGACCUGAAAAUGUUGGGAAUAAGGAAUGCUGAAGAAACGGCACAAGAUAGAGAAGAUUAGAGACAAUAUGUGGUUGCGGCAAUGGGCCUUGAAGGCCUGUAAAAAGCCAAAGAAGAAGAAGAAGAAGUCGCAACUGAUCGAGAAAGAAAAUCAGUCAAAAAUGUUUGACACGAUACUGCCUUUAAAUAGAUAUAGUAAAUCGAACACGAACUGUAUAUUAUGUCUCUUUAGUUUGAUUACAUUAAAUAAAUUAUACUAAUUAAAAAAUUAUACAGCAGUCAGCAACAAUAACAUACGACCAUAUCUGCAGUAAUAUUUAUCAAAAACAAUAUGCAUUUUUUAUAAACAAACAUUGAUGGCUGUCGGCGGCACUUACCUAUUACCCGCCAGGAAACUGUAAAGGAAUAAUAAAUAUGGUUUCGUCAAUAUUGCGAAUUGUAUUAACACUACAUAAACUUUUCAGUAUACUUAUUAAUAGGGAUUGUAAGCUUUAGGAGUUGUAUAUUUUUCUAUAUACCUAUACUCUCGAUUUAUAGCAAACCAAGCUACAAAUCCGAACUAUAGUAUAUACUAUGGUAAGUUUAAAAAUCAAAAAUUUAAGAUGUAUAUUUUAUAAAUUUUAAGGAAAAGUGUAUAUUUGAUAUUUUAUAAAAAAAAAAAUUGAUUUUUUUUCUUAAUCUAUAUGUAUUUUAAAUAAUAUUGAAUACAAAACAAACGUAUUUAUAACUAUUAUACUAAUCAAAUACAUAAUAAAAUAGAAAAAUAUUAUUUGUUAUCGGGCCAAGUUUAAAACAAACAGACACGGCAAUUUUAAAUGUUCACCCAGAGAAAUACACGAUAUAAAUUGCACUAUAUAUGGCACUCAGUUUAGCUAAUCCAUGCUUAUAUAUUUUGUAUACCAUACGAGUCUUCUCGUCCAACUUUUCGGAGUCAUUCAAUCACAAUAACUUUUUAAUUUUUAUUUUGCGAUAUUUAUGUUUUAAUAAAUUGUUGUGUAAUAUUCUGGCACGUUUGACUGAACAACGGAUAACGGGAUAAUGCAUAAAACAAACGAAGCACUCGUCAAAGGAUAUUGUACGACACACACACACAUUGAGCAUGUAUUACACAUAAUAUAUAAUACGUAUGUGAGGAAGUUUUCAAUCCAUUUUCAUCACCAUUCACCGGCAUAUUACACGCGAGUUUUUUUAAAAUUGUAUUCUUAAUAACAGAAAAAAGACGUGCAUUUCAAUUGAGUGACUGCAGAGUGUAGUGUUUUGGAAUAGUAUAUGCAUUUUUCUGAAUACAAUUGAAAAUUGUUUUGAUAUUUCAAACACAUACACCU